rnacentral:rRNA from 1 species
AGUGAACGCUGGCGGUAGGCCUAACACAUGCAAGUCGAACGGCAGCACAGUAAGAGCUUGCUCUUACGGGUGGCGAGUGGCGGACGGGUGAGGAAUACAUCGGAAUCUACUUUUUCGUGGGGGAUAACGUAGGGAAACUUACGCUAAUAUCGCAUACGACCUACGGGUGAAAGCAGGGGAUCUUCGGACCUUGCGCGAUUGAAUGAGCCGAUGUCGGAUUAGCUAGUUGGCGGGGUAAAGGCCCACCAAGGCGACGAUCCGUAGCUGGUCUGAGAGGAUGAUCGGCCACACUGGAACUGGGACACGGUCCAGACUCCUGCGGGAGGCAGCAGUGGGGAAUAUUGGACAAUGGGCGCAAGCCUGGUCCAGCCAUACCGCGUGGGUGAAGAAGGCCUUCGGGUUGUAAAGCCCUUUUGUUGGGAAAGAAAAGCAGCAGGUUAAUACCCCGCUGUUCUGACGGUACCCAAAGAAUAAGCACCGGCUAACUUCGUG